rnacentral:lncRNA from 1 species
GGCCCCCUCUGCUCAGCCCGGCCCCAAAGGUGCCAGGAUUGGGAGGUGACAGCGUCUUCAGGCGGAUCCAGGCUGGUGGGCAUUCCCUCAGCACCUCGGGAAAUGUGGGAAGGUGGGUGAGAUCCCACCUGGGAGAAUUUCGAAGGUUGGAAGGAGGUGGAACCAAGGGAAUUAAAAGCGUUACCAGU